CAGCCGCCACGGUAAUACGUAGGGUGCGAGCGUUAAUCGGAAUUACUGGGCGUAAAGCGUGCGCAGGCGGUUGUGUAAGACGGGUGUGAAAUCCCCGGGCUUAACCUGGGAACUGCGCUUGUGACUGCACAGCUAGAGUAUGGCAGAGGGGGGUGGAAUUCCACGUGUAGCAGUGAAAUGCGUAGAGAUGUGGAGGAACACCGAUGGCGAAGGCAGCCCCCUGGGCCAAUACUGACGCUCAUGCACAAAAGCGUGGGGAGCAAACAGGAUUAGAUACCCGCGUAGUCCCUGUCUCUUAUAC
rnacentral:rRNA from 1 species